UGUUUGGCAUUGAAGUGUAGAGCCUUUACUCUUCCAGUUUGCUUUGCUGUACCUGGGCCUCACUUGGUGUCUAGUCUCAAGAGACAGUUCCACUCCAUGGAUUCAGAAUGGACUUGAUCUGUCCGUAAGAGUUUGUUUGAACGAGAGCAUGAUCUUUUAGAACUACCUUCCAAAUGUCCACUUGGGGACACUGAACUUUAGCUCAAGGGUUCCAAAAGUCUAAAAUCCUGAAAGUCCCCCUUAGGCAUUCUGUGAAGAGGGGCCUAAAGAGUGCCUUCCCAAAGCAAGCUUUCUCCCUUAGCAGCUGCAGUAAAUGUAUGUCACCAUAUGGUGACUCUGUUGGAGGAGGCUGGCACCUAGAAGAAAAAGAGGACUUUAGCCACUGGGUAUUCACAGUGAUGGAGCUGGUGACUCUGGAAUAGAGUCCAACUCCUAAGACAGAGGGUGGUCCAGUGGGCAAAUGCAAGAAGUCUUCAGUCAAGGUCACUGCAAGAGGGGAAGACUCAGGAAGACUUACUGCAUGAUUUUUUCACUUGGAAAGAGCAAACCAUGAUCUGGGGUAACAGAUUCCCAAAGGAGGUAUCCAGAGCUUAUUUAGAAAGUUACCACCCUCCAAGUCAGCUUUACUAUCUCGGCUGCCCAGCGGUUCACAUAAAGAUGGAACCUGGCCAAUGACAGGGCACAAGACCUUUUUGCUAAGAGAGUAAAUUCUUCAGAACUCUGAAAUGAAUCCAGUCUUUGAAGAGAGACGAGGCAUUGAGGAGCGACCUUGGGGGCCAUGGAGAAAGGCAGCCCUGGUUCCUGGAUGAGCAUCAGGAAGGGACCACAGUAUGUCGUUGAGUCAUGGAAAAGUCACGUCAGCAUAGUACUACAGAGUUUCCUUUCAUCCCUAGCAACUGAUGGGUGACAAAGGGAAUCUUGAACCUCUGCCCCACAAAGACGAACAAAGCUGACUCAAGGCACCUGUGUUCAGGAAUCUGACUAAGCUAGAAAGGGCAAAGUGACCCAUGAUGGGUCUUUCUUCUUCCCUUGUGGCCACUGGCAGCUUCUGAGAUAUACAGACCAGAUGAUUAAGAAAACUUGCCAAAAAUGGAGACAGAAGCAGGAGUUAAAAGGAAAGAAGAGGGAGUUUGAUCAAUGCCUUGGAGCUGGUGUUAAAGGCAGUUCUGAAGACACAUGAUGUGGGUGCUUGGAACCGAACCUGGGUCCUCCCUCCAUAAAGCAGUGAGAACUUGACAUUGAACCUGACAAAAGGAUUACGAUGAUAAGAACACUUGUGCAUGACUGCAGACAAAAAUUUCACUGAAUUUUCCAAAUCUACCUGACACCCCAUUGGCACUCAACAGAAGCCCCGUUCACAGGCAAAGCUGGAGAUGAUGCCCCUGAGACAGCACAAGAGUAGUUCAGUAACAGAGAUGCAGCUGAGAUGUCUCUCCAGUGCCAGCUACACAAUUCUGCAUCAAGCAUUGGCAGUCGUGGACUAUUGACUGUGCUGCACAACCAUCUCCCAUUUCCAACAACAGAUCUUUGUGAAAUAAGGUUUUCCAACUUUUUGGUUUUCAAGUCUAAAUGCAGAAGUAGACUUGUUGUGGAAGAUGCUCUUGCUAUGACUGCCCUGAGAAUGUCUGAUGUGAGAAAGAAGCAAUCGCCACCUUCAUACUAAUGUUGGCUUUUUAUGCAUACUAGAAUGUAGCAAUGUAGCUUACUGUUGUUAAAUUUGUUAACCAUGCUACCCAAUACUUCAAGACAAAAUUCUGUUUAUUUGUAAUUAGAAAUAGUUUAUAAUAUAUAAUUGCAUAUUGUUUGGGGAUUAAUCAUGAUGCUUUAAUUAUGUUCAAUUCAUAAU